rnacentral:pre_miRNA from 1 species
CAGCUACUUCCUCCAUUUCGAAUUACUUGUCACAGGUACGGAUGUAUCCAGAUGUAUUUUAGUUCUCUGUACAUUCAUUUCUGUGACGAGUAAUUUGGAACGGAGGAAGUAUAUU